UACGUAGGGUGCAAGCGUUGUCCGGAAUUAUUGGGCGUAAAGAGCGUGUAGGCGGCCCGAUUAGUCCGCUGUGAAAGUCCAGGGCUCAACCCUGGAAUGCCGGUGGAUACUGUCGGGCUAGAGUCCGGAAGGGGCGAGUCGAAUUCCUGGUGUAGCGGUGAAAUGCGCAGAUAUCAGGAGGAACACCAAUGGCGAAGGCAGCGCUCUGGGCCGGUACUGACACUGAGGAGCGAAAGCGUGGGUAGCAAACAGG
rnacentral:rRNA from 1 species